GGAAUAUUGGACAAUGGGCGCAAGCCUGAUCCAGCCAUGCCGCGUGAGUGAUGAAGGCUUUAGGGUUGUAAAGCUCUUUCGUUGGUGAAGAUAAUGACGGUAACCAAAGAAGAAGCCCCGGCUAACUUCGUGCCAGCAGCCGCGGUAAUACGAAGGGGGCUAGCGUUGUUCGGAAUUACUGGGCGUAAAGCGCGCGUAGGCUGUGCGACAAGUCAGGGGUGAAAUCCCAGAGCUUAACUCUGGAACUGCCUUUGAAACUGUCGUGCUGGAAUCUCAGAGGGGAUAGCGGAAUUCCAAAUGUAGGGGUGAAAUCCGUAGAUAUUUGGAGGAACACCGGUGGCGAAGGCGGCUAUCUGGAUGAGUAUUGACGCUGAGGCGCGAAAGCGUGGGGAUCAAAC
rnacentral:rRNA from 1 species